UACGUAGGGGGCAAGCGUUGUCCGGAAUCAUUGGGCGUAAAGAGCGUGUAGGCGGCUCGAUAAGUCUGCUGUGAAAGUCCAGGGCUCAACCCUGGAAGGCCGGUGGAAACUGUCGGGCUAGAGUCCGGAAGAGGCGUCUGGAAUUCCUGGUGUAGCGGUGAAAUGCGCAGAUAUCAGGAGGAACACCGGUGGCGAAGGCGGGACUCUGGGCCGAUACUGACGCUGAGGAGCGAAAGCGUGGGGAGCGAACAGG
rnacentral:rRNA from 1 species